UACGUAGGGUGCGAGCGUUGUCCGGAAUUACUGGGCGUAAAGAGCUCGUAGGUGGUUUGUCGCGUCGUUUGUGUAAGUCCACGGCUUAACUGUGGGAUGGCAGGCGAUACGGGCAUAACUUGAGUGCUGUAGGGGAGACUGGAAUUCCUGGUGUAGCGGUGAAAUGCGCAGAUAUCAGGAGGAACACCGAUGGCGAAGGCAGGUCUCUGGGCAGUAACUGACGCUGAAGAGCGAAAGCAUGGGUAGCGAACAGG
rnacentral:rRNA from 1 species